CUCCUCACUCCAAAGCUAAGUCUCCUUCCCCCUUCCCCUCUGAUUCCAUUUCUUUGAGCUAUGGCAGCAGCUUGGUGAUUGUUGAUAUGUGGAAUAGGCUGCCACAUUUGGAGCAUGGUGAGGGUGGAAUCGAGAAGGAUGGGGAGAGAAGAGAAGAUCUUGAACUGCAGCUCCCUUGAUCAAAGCAACUUAGUUUUUUUUUAUCUUGAGAUUAGCUACAACAAUUUCCGUAGAGUAGAACUAGCCACCAUUAUUUUUUUCCACUUUGAGAAGGGUCUCCCAUGUGCUUGAAUCCAAUUUGUUGUACUUUAGUAUACACAUGUGCAUUUCUUCACUUUUCUAAUAAUAGUAUUUUCUCUA